UACGUAGGGGGCAAGCGUUGUCCGGAGUUACUGGGCGUAAAGCGCACGCAGGCGGUCUUUUAAGUUUGGAGUGACAGUUGGUGGCUUAACUGCCAAAGUGCUUCGAAAACUGACAGACUUGAGGGCUUCAGAGGGACACGGAAUUCCGGGUGGAGUGGUGAAAUGCGUAGAGAUCCGGAGGAACACCGGUGGCGAAGGCGGGACUCUGGGCCGCUACUGACGCUGAGAAGCGAAAGCAUGGGGAGCGAACAGG
rnacentral:rRNA from 1 species